rnacentral:rRNA from 1 species
AUAGCAGCGUCUGCUUCGGCAGGCUACCGAAAGGGCUGGUAAUACCGGAUGUGGUUGGUAGCACUGCGGUGCUUUUGAUCAAAGUUGGGGAUCCGCUUCGGCGGACCUAAUGGCCUGGGAGCGGCCCAUGUUCCAUCAGCUAGUUGGUAGGGUAAAGGCCUACCAAGGCGAUGACGGAUACCGGGGCUGAGAGGCCGAUCCGGCACAUUGGGACUGAGACACUGCCCAGACCCCCACGGGGGGCUGCAGUAACGAAUCUUCCGCAAUGGGCGAAAGCCUGACGGAGCGACGCCGCGUGUGGGAUGAAUUCCCUCGGGAUGUAAACCACUGUCAGGGUUAUGGAAAUAAACCGCAGUAAUACAGCGGGGCGUUGACCUAGCCCAAAGGAAGCCACGGCUAACUUCGUGCCAGCAGCCGCGGUAAUACGAAGGUGGCAAGCGUUGUUCGGAAUAACUGGGCUUAAAGAGCACGUAGGCGGCUGGUCAAGCAUUUUGUGAAAUCCCUCGGCUCAACCGAGGAAUUGCGAGGUGAACUGGCCGGCUUGAGCUGCAGAUGGGUGACUGGAACUCUAGGUGGAGUGGUGAAAUACGUAGAUAUCUAGAGGAACGCCGGUGGUGAAAACGGGUCACUGGCUGCAAGCUGACGCUGAGGUGCGAAAGCGUGGGGAGCGAACGGGAUUAGAUACCCCGGUAGUCCACGCCGUAAACGAUGGGCACUAGGUUCGGGGGAGUUUGACCUUUUCCGGGCCGAAGCAAAAGUACUAAGUGCCCCGCCUGGGGAGUACGGUCGCAAGGCUAAAACUCAAAGGAAUUGACGGGGGCUCACACAAGCGGUGGAGCAUGUGGCUCAAUUCGAGGCAACGCGAAGAACCUUAUCCUGGGUUUG